rnacentral:rRNA from 1 species
GACGAACGCUGGCGGCGUGCCUAAUACAUGCAAGUAGGACGCAGUUGCGAACGGGUGAGUAACGCGUAGGUUACUACCUACUAGAGGGGGCUAACUAUUGGCAACGCUAGCUAAUACCGCAUACUAGUUGAUGGACCUGCGUUGUAUUAGCUAGUAGGUAGGGGAAGGGCCUACCUAGGCAACGAUACAUAGCCGAAGGGGGAGGGAGAUGAGCCACACUCGGACUGGGACUGGGCCCCGGCUCCGACGGUAGGCAGCGGUAGGAAUGAUGCGGAUAUGGGGAGAAGCGUGAGCGAGCAACGGCGCGUUAGUGAGGAGGGUGUUGGGAUCGUAGAGUUCUGUUGUUAAGGAAGCGGUACUGAACCAGAAAGGGACGGCUAACUACGUGCCAGCAGCCGCGGUAAUUC